CCCUUAGAUGUCCUGGGCCACACGCGUGCUACACUGAUGCAUACAGCGAGUACUCCCAGCUCCGAGAGGCUGCUGGUAAUCAGCAAUAUGCAUCGUGAUGGGGAUAGAUCUUUGGAAUUAUAGAUCUUGAACGAGGAAUUCCUAGUAAUCGCAGGUCAUCACCCUGCGUUGACUAAGUCCCUGCCCUUUGUACACACCGCCCGUCGCUCCUACCGAUUUCGAGUGAUCCGGUGAAUCAUUCGGACCGCGGCCCCUAGGCAUGCGGAAAGUCUAGUAAACCAUAUCACUUAGAGGAAGGAGAAGUCGUAACA
rnacentral:rRNA from 1 species